CGCCGCCUCGGCGACGGCGGUGCCGGACGGCUGCAGCUCGUCGACGGCGUUCAUCACGUCGGCGACGGC
rnacentral:tRNA from 1 species